AGGUCCGUCCCCCGCUGGGCCCGCCACGGCAGAGGCGGACGACGAGGAGGAGGCGGACUACGCGCACCUGUUGCCGGCUGGGAGGCGGCGGCCGCGCGUGACGGUGGAGCUGCAUGCGCACUCGGCGCGCAGCGACGGCUUGCUCUUGCCCGCGGCGCUCGUGGAGCGCGCACACCGCAAUGGGUUAAGCCUUUCUUCCCGCCUGUCACCAACUGCAUAGACGUUCGCGACGUGCUCGACGAAACAACUGGCUCCAAUGUUCUUCAGUUCCGUAAUAGCCGAUGCCAUGUCCGAGCUCAUCCUCGUGUGCUGCUAAACACCUCCGCCGCCACUUCUUUUACUCUUGCUAUGCUUUGUUUCGGAAGGAUGAUGCCUAGCACGUUCGCACACUAACUCUGUUACCUGGUGAUCAGUACAGGUGAAGGUGCUCGCACUGACUGAUCAUGACACCAUGGCCGGUGUCCCGGAGGCGAUGGAGUCGGCAAAGGAAUUUUCCAUCAGGAUCAUCCCAGGUGUUGAGAUAAGCGCCCUUUAUUCGCCUAGGUAACCCUUUUCUCGCCACCCUAAAAUUUGUAACACGCCUUGAUGGUCACACAGAUGUGGUUAAUUCUCAAAGUUGUUAAUUGUUCUGAAAGCAAUGGAUCAGGAGCGGAUGAACUUGUUCAUAUUCUCGCAUACUACGAUAGUUGGGGCCCUGGGAAAUCUCAGGAAGUAGAGAAGGUUCUAUCUAGCAUCAGGGAGGGCCGCUAUACACGUGCCAAGGAGAUGCUAUCGAAAUUUAGGAACCUCGGCAUGCCAUUGAACUUUGAAGAUGUGUCUACUAUAGCAGGGAAUGGAGUGGCUCCAGGGCGGGUGCACGUGGCGCGUGCCAUGGUUGUAGCUGGAUAUUUUGAUAAUCUUUUUUUAAGCCCAGAACCGUGAAACAAUCGUUCUACGGUAUAUUUUCAUUGAAAGAAAAAAACAACAAAAAAGAAAAGGAAAACAGUAUCUGCAUAAAUUGGUAACAUGGGCAAGCUUUCAGCAGGUACUUGUACGAUGGAGGGCCUGCUUAUGCUACUGGCAGUGAGCCAGAUGGGAAUCUGUUGUGCAACUAAUAUAUACAACUGGGGGCAUAGCUGUUUUGGCUCAUCCGUGGGCAUUGAAAAUCCUAUUCUUGUGAUAAAGGAUUUGAAAGUUGAUGGUCUGCAUGCUAUUGAGGUCUAUCGAAGCGAUGGAAAACUAUCUAGUAUGAAUGGCAUGAUCAUUUUUCAGUCAUAACAAGUGAUACUUUAUGUUACCAAUUUAUGCAGAUACUAAUGAUGCAUCUAACGUAUAUGUCUAUUUUAUGCCUUCGUUGAGAAGAAAAUGUCUAAUGUAUCUGAACUUCAAUGGAAUUAACUGCUGAAUUUGUCUAAACCAGGUUUGAGUGAUCUGGUUGAUACUUAUGAGCUUCUGAAGCUCGGUGGAUCAGAUUACCAUGGACGAGAUGACAAGGAAGAACCUGAUAUAGGAAGCGUUGAUCUUCCAGUCUUGGCAUUUUUUAGAUUUCUUGAGGUAGCUCAACCAAUUUGCUGCAAUGCUAUCAAGGAAAUUUUUGCAAACACCACUGAAAGAUCAUAAGUAUAUAUGGCCCAAAAGGAUGUCAUCGGACUAUCUCUGUAGAUGAUUUAUGUAAUAGGUGCCUUUUCUUCUCCAGAACUGGAGGAAACAGGUGAUUCUGAGAUUGAGGUCCUCCGGGGGAAACUUGCAGACAGACGACAAUUCUGUUCAUAAAGGAACCAUCGUUCUCAUCGGCGGCUGCAGGCUGUUGUGUGACACAGAGAUCUCAUUUUUCUAGCAACUACAGGCACUCAGUGAAGCAGUAGGAAGGAGGAAGUUGGUCAGACGAUUAUCUGAUGACCUGAUAUGCUACCUGGUGUCUUUUAGUAACAAAUAUAACUUCUUCUCCAGAAAAAAGAACAUUGAGAGGCAUGCUACAGUUUAUUUUGCCCUGAGAAUUGCUCAUAAUUUUGUAACAAAGACAAACAUGCCAGUAGACCUCUUACACUUGACUCCGGCACCUCUUUCUAGAAAUAGAUGGAACUGAAGUUUCCUGUUCGAUAUUUUUA